rnacentral:ncRNA from 23 species
UUACCCUUGCGCGCUGAUGGUUCCCGCGAGACGGGAUCAAAUGGGAACGCAGUGACGGCGCACGCCGGAAUCUGCGGCUGCCCCCGCAACUGUAAGCGGCGAGUCCGUGCCCUUCGCGCCACUGGGAGACCGGGAAGGCGGGCACCGGGCGGCGACCCGCGAGCCAGGAGACCAGCCAUCGACCGAGGUCCAAGC